rnacentral:tRNA from 1 species
GGGCGGGUGGUGAAAUGGAAAACACGAUAGAUUUAAAAUCUAUUGGUCGCAAGGCCUUGAGGGUUCAAGUCCCUCCCUGCCCACCA